UACGAAGGGGGCUAGCGUUGCUCGGAAUCACUGGGCGUAAAGCGCACGUAGGCGGACUCUUAAGUCGGUGGUGAAAUCCUGGAGCUCAACUCCAGAACUGCCUUCGAUACUGAGAGUCUCGAGUCCGGGAGAGGUGAGUGGAACUGCGAGUGUAGAGGUGAAAUUCGUAGAUAUUCGGAGGAACACCGGUGGCGAAGGCGGCUUCCUGGACCGAUUACUGACGCUGAGGCGCGAAAGCUAGGGGAGCAAACGGG
rnacentral:rRNA from 1 species